UGUAAACAACAGAAAGGAGGGAUAAUUUAAAAAUGGAAAUUAAAAUGAGAAUUUAAAUAGAAUAUUUUUCAAUAAAUUUGUUACCAUGGAUUUUUUAAUUAAAUAUUUUAUUUACAGAUUUCUUGUGUUUGGAGACUCAUAGUGAAAUUUGAUGCAGAACAUAUUUGCCAUUGGCACCAAUCUCCUAAUAGGACGUCAUGAGGGACAUUUUGGUAGAAAUUGGAAAACUUCCAAAUUUUUUUUUGCUCCUACUGAAAUUCGAUGUAGAAUAUUUUUGUCAUUGACACCAACCCGCUAAAAGGAUGUCUACAUGGUUAUUUAGAUAUCUGUUGUUUGAAGACCCGCAGUAAAAUUUGAUGCAGAACAAUUUUUCCAUUAACAUCAACUCCCUAAAAUGAUGUCUAAAGGGUUAUUUUGGAGCAUUAUCACAACUACUUAAAAAUAUGUGCAAAUCUCGAGUAGAAUUUGAUGUAGAACACUUUUGCCAUUGCCAUCAAAGUCCUUAUAGCAUGUCUUGGGUGAUAUUUUGGUGGAAUUUCGAAACCUAACCUUAAAUGGAUGUAUUUUCAUUGUUUGCAGGCUCCUACUGAAAUUCGAUGAAGAAUAUUUUUGUCAUUGACACCAACCCGCUAAAAGGAUGACUAGAUGGUUAUUUUGGUGCAAUUUCAAAAACAACCCUGAAAUAUUUUCAUUGAGUGUUUUCUAUGAAUUUUUUACUUAAAUAUUAUUUUUACAGUUAUCUUUUGUUCGCAGACCCAAAGUGAAAUUUGAUGCAGAGCAAUUUUGCCGUUAACAUCAACUCCCUGAAAUAAUGUCUAAAGGGUUAUUUUGGAACAAUGUCAAAAACUACUUAAAAAUAACGCAAGAGAAUUUGUAACCAUUGAUUUUCGACUCAAAUAUUAUUUUUACACAUUUCUCUUGUUUGCAGACCUCUAGUAGAAUUUGAUGUAGAACACUUUUGCCAUUGCCAUCAAAGUCCUUAUAGCAUGUCUUGGGUGAUAUUUUGGUGGAAUUUCGAAACCUAACCUUAAAUGGGUGUAUUUUCAUUGUUUGCAGGCUCCUACUGAAAUUCGAUGUAGAAUAUUUUUGUCAUUGACAAUAACCCGUUAAAAGGAUGUCUAGAUGGUUAUUUUG